rnacentral:lncRNA from 1 species
GGGAGAGCCUCUGACUUUCUCAACCAAUGGGUUUUGAGGAGGAAACGAGGAGAGGACGCGAGGAGUAUGCAAUUGAGAUUCUCCCUCUACCAGCCACUAGUGUCACCUUUGACCCCCAGACAUCAAAGGGUGUGGCAUGUCAACACUGUGAUUUAACUGAACCAGACAGGUCCACGAUCGGCGUGCUCACCUUGCAGCACCGCAUCAUAUCCGUCAGACAGUGACACAGUAGAACCGGCCCAACUCAACACCUGUCUGUCCCAGUGUCUUGUUUACCUUGAGGAGACGGCAAGAAACGGCAGCCAAGAUGCCUGAACGAUAAGCAGAGAGCUAGCGGAUGGGGUAGGAGGUGUGUCUGCGUGACGGUUUUGUGUGGGUGUCUGUGGGACAGGUGUGUGUGGGUGUCUGCAGGACAGGUGUGUGUGGGUGUCUGCAGGACAGGUGUGUGUGUGGGUCUGCGGGACAGGUGUGUGUGGGUGUCUGCAGGACAGAUGUGUGUGUGGGUCUGCGGGACAGGUGUGUGUGGGUGUCUGCAGGACAGGUGUGUGUGGGUGUCUGCAGGACAGGUGUGUGUGUGGGUCUGCGGGACUUCAAAAGAACCGAACGGGGGCUAAUGUAUAAAAAAACAACUCCACAAAAUAUCUGAAUGACAGACUGGGCACUGCCCCC